GGACAGGUGGCCGAGUGGCUGAAGGCACCAGUCUCGAAAACUGGCAUACCGGCAACGGUAUCGAGAGUUCGAAUCUCUCCCUGUCCGC
rnacentral:tRNA from 1 species